rnacentral:rRNA from 1 species
CUGGCUCAGAGUUAACGCUGGCGGCGUGCCUAACACAUGCAAGUCGGGCGGGGAGUGGCAGAGUACCGCGCUCCCAGCGGCAGACGGGUGAGUAACGCGUAGGCAACAUGCCCAUAAGAGGGAGACAACCAGCCGAAAGGUUGGCUAAUAUCCCGUAAUACCCUGGGGAGGCAUCUUUUCCGGGUUAAAGCAGCGAUGCGCUUAUGGAGUGGCCUGCGGCCUAUCAGCUGGUUGGUGAGGUAACGGCCCCACCAAGGCAUAGACGGGUAGCCGAUCUAAAAGGAUGACCGGCCACAAGGGGACUGAGACACGGCCCCUACUCCUACGGGAGGCAGCAGUGGGGAAUUUUGGACAAUGGGGGAAACCCUGAUCCAGCCGACGCCGCGUGAAGGAUGAAGGUUUUCGGAUUGUAAACUUCUUUUGCAGGGGGCAAAGGCCGGCAACGGCGUGAUGGUACCCUGUGAAUAAGCCACGGCUAACUACGUGCCAGCCGCCGC